rnacentral:rRNA from 1 species
CUACGUGCCAGCAGCCGCGGUAAUACGGAAGGUUCGGGCGUUAUCCGGAUUUAUUGGGUUUAAAGGGAGCGUAGGCCGGAGAUUAAGUGUGUUGUGAAAUGUAGACGCUCAACGUCUGACUUGCAGCGCAUACUGGUUUCCUUGAGUACGCACAACGUUGGCGGAAUUCGUCGUGUAGCGGUGAAAUGCUUAGAUAUGACGAAGAACUCCGAUUGCGAAGGCAGCUGACGGGAGCGCCACUGACGCUUAAGCUCGAAGGUGCGGGUAUCGAACAGGAUUAGAUACCCUGGUAGUCCGCACAGUAAACGAUGGAUGCCCGCUGUUGGUACCUGGUAUCAGCGGCUAAGCGAAAGCAUUAAGCAUCCCACCUGGGGAGUACGCCGGCAACGGUGAAACUCAAAGGAAUUGACGGGGGCCCGCACAAGCGGAGGAACAUGUGGUUUAAUUCGAUGAUACGCGAGGAACCUUACCCGGGCU